AAUGGGUAAUGGAGCAGUCUGACAGCCAUGCCGCGUGAAGGAUUAAGGUCCUCUGGAUUGUAAACUUCUUUUAUCUGGGACGAAAAAAGGCGAUUCUUCGUCACUUGACGGUACCAGAUGAAUAAGCACCGGCUAACUCCGUGCCAGCAGCCGCGGUAAUAACGGAGGGUGCAAGCGUUAUCCGGAUUCACUGGGUUUAAAGGGUGCGUAGGCGGGCAGGUAAGUCAGUG
rnacentral:rRNA from 1 species